rnacentral:rRNA from 1 species
CCUACGGGAGGCUGCAGUGGGGAAUAUUGCACAAUGGGCGAAAGCCUGAUGCAGCAACGCCGCGUGAGCGAUGAAGGCCUUCGGGUCGUAAAGCUCUGUCCUCAAGGAAGUUAAUGACGGUACUUGAGGAGGUAGCCCCGGCUAACUACGUGCCAGCAGCCGCGGUAAUACGUAGGGGGCUAGCGUUAUCCGGAAUUACGGGGCGUAAGGGGUGCGUAGGUGGUUUCUUAAGUCAGAGGUGAAAGGCUAGGGCUCAACCGUAGUAAGCCUUUGAAACUGGGAAACUUGAGUGUAGGAGAGGAGAGUGGAAUUCCUAGUGUAGCGGUGAAAUGCGUAGAUAUUAGGAAGAACACCAGUUGCGAAGGCGGCUCUCUGGACUGUAACUGACACUGAGGCACGAAAGCGUGGGGAGCAAACAGGAUUAGAUACCCUGGUAGUC